UACGUAGGGUGCAAGCGUUGUCCGGAAUUAUUGGGCGUAAAGAGCUCGUAGGCGGUCUGCCGCGUCUGCUGUGAAAACUCAGGGCUUAACCCUGAGCUUGCAGUGGGUACGGGCAGACUAGAGUGCGGUAGGGGAAACUGGAAUUCCUGGUGUAGCGGUGAAAUGCGCAGAUAUCAGGAGGAACACCGGUGGCGAAGGCGGUUCUCUGGGACGGUACUGACGCUGAGACGCGAAAGCGUGGGGAGCGAACGGG
rnacentral:rRNA from 1 species